UAGGGAAUCUUCCACAAUGGACGCAAGUCUGAUGGAGCAACGCCGCGUGAGUGAAGAAGGUUUUCGGACCGUAAAGCUCUGUUGUUGGUGAAGAAGGAUAGAGGUAGUAACUGGCCUUUAUUUGACGGUAAUCAACCAGAAAGUCACGGCUAACUACGUGCCAGCAGCCGCGGUAAUACGUGGGUGGCAAGCGUUGUCCGGAUUUAUUGGGCGUAAAGCGAGCGCAGGCGGAAGAAUAAGUCUGAUGUGAAAGCCCUCGGCUUAACCGAGGAAUUGCAUCGGAAACUGUUUUCUUGAGUGCAGAAGAGGAGAGUAGAACUCCAUGUGUAGCGGUGGAAUGCGUAGAUAUAUGGAAGAAUACCAGUGGCGAAGGCGGCUCUCUGGUCUGCAACUGACGCUGAGGCUCGAAAGCAUGGGUAGCGAACAGGAUUAGAUACCCUGGUAGUCCAUGCCGUAAACGAUGAGUGCUAAGUGUUGGGAGGCUUCCGCCUCUCAGUGCUGCAGCUAACGCAUUAAGCACUCCGCCUGGGGGAGUACGACCGCAAGGUUGAAAC
rnacentral:rRNA from 1 species